ACGAACGCUGGCGGCAGGCUUAACACAUGCAAGUCGAGCGCGUAGCAAUACGAGCGGCAGACGGGUGAGUAACGCGUGGGAAUCUACCCGGAACUACGGAAUAACAUGAAGAAAUUUAUGCUAAUACCGUAUACGCCCUUUUGGGGAAAGAUUUAUUGGUUUCGGAUGAGCCCGCGUUGGAUUAGCUUGUUGGUAGGGUAAUGGCCUACCAAGGCGACGAUCCAUAGCUGGUCUGAGAGGAUGAUCAGCCACACUGGGACUGAGACACGGCCCAGACUCCUACGGGAGG
rnacentral:rRNA from 1 species